GACGAACGCUGGCGGCGUGCUUAACACAUGCAAGUCGAACGGAAAGGCCCUGCUUUUGUGGGGUGCUCGAGUGGCGAACGGGUGAGUAACACGUGAGUAACCUGCCCUUGACUUUGGGAUAACUUCAGGAAACUGGGGCUAAUACCGGAUAGGAGCUCCUGCUGCAUGGUGGGGGUUGGAAAGUUUCGGCGGUUGGGGAUGGACUCGCGGCUUAUCAGCUUGUGGGUGGGGUAGUGGCUUACCAAGGCUUUGACGGGUAGCCGGCCUGAGAGGGUGACCGGCCACAUUGGGACUGAGAUACGGCACAGACUCCUACGGGAGGCAGCAGUGGGGAAUAUUGCACAAUGGGCGGAAGCCUGAUGCAGCAACGCCGCGUGCGGGAUGACGGCCUUCGGGUUGUAAACCGCUUUCGCCUGUGACGAAGCGUGAGUGACGGUAAUGGGUAAAGAAGCACCGGCUAACUACGUG
rnacentral:rRNA from 1 species